CAAAGACUAUACAGCAGAGAAGGCGACGGAAGGGAAAGAUGUGGGAGUGAGUAAGAUUGGUGAACUAAAGGAUAGUGCGGUGGACACGGCAAAGAGAGCUAUGGGUUUCUUGUCUGGCAAGACAGAGGAAACCAAACAAAAAGCCGUUGAGACCAAAGACACGGCCAAGGAGAAGCUGGACGAGACCGGAGAAGAAGCGAGGAGGAAGAUGGAAGAGAUGAGACUUGAGGGCAAAGAACUUGAA